CCUACGGGAGGCAGCAGUAGGGAAUAUUGCUCAAUGGGGGAAACCCUGAAGCAGCAACGCCGCGUGCAGGAUGAAGGUUUUAGGAUUGUAAAAUCCUUUUUUGAGAGAAGAUAAUGACGGUAUCUCACGAAUAAGCACCAGCCAAAUCCGUGCCAGCAGCCGUGGUAAAACGGAGGGUGCAAGCGUUACUCGGAAUCAAUGAGCGUAAAGAGUGCGCAGGCCGGCUUGUAGGUCAGAUGUGAAAUCCUGUAGCUUAACUACAGAACUGCAUUUGAAACUAUGAGUCUAGAGUGUGGUAGCGGUAGGUGGAAUGCUUGGUGUAGUGGUAAAAUCCGUAGAUAUCAAGAGGAAUACUCAUUGCGAAGGCGACCUACUGGAACAUUACUGACGCUCAUGCACGAAAGCGUGGGGAGCAAACAGGAUUAGAUACCCCUGUAGUC
rnacentral:rRNA from 1 species